rnacentral:rRNA from 1 species
UACGGGGGGGGGCAAGCGUUGUUCGGAAUUACUGGGCGUAAAGGGCUCGUAGGCGGCCAACUAAGUCGGACGUGAAAUCCCCAGGCUCAACCUGGGAACUGCGUCUGAUACUGGAUGGCUUGAAUCCGGGAGAGGGAUGCAGAAUUCCAGGUGUAGCGGUGAAAUGCGUAGAUAUCUGGAGGAAUACCGGUGGCGAAGGCGGCAUCCUGGACCGGCAUUGACGCUGAGGAGCGAAAGCUAGGGGAGCAAACGGG